rnacentral:lncRNA from 1 species
CUUCCAGCAUACGAGACAUUGGCUCUCCCAUCUUUUUCUCUUGAGAACUUGGCCGGCUUCAGAUGAGGAUGCAAGAUCCAGCACUGGUUCUUCUUGUGACCUUGUCUCUUGCAAUGAUCACAAUUUCCCGUGAACUUCUUUGCAUCAUACUGGUUAGAGCUUGCACGGUUUGCUUGCGGAACCUCAGCUUGGUUUGCAAGUGUGAUCUCUCCUUUUCCUCCAAAGAGACCAAUAGAACCUUCCUCCUUCUGAACUUGUGCACACACGUCCUCAAGAUCAGGUGACUUCCCGGACCUCAGGAUGUGUUUGAUGAGGCUGUUGUAGCUUGGAUUCAAUGUGAGUAGCAACCCAAACACCUUGUCUUGCUCACGUCUCUCAGCCAGCUCAUCUAGGUUGGUUGUGCCUGGCCUCAGC